rnacentral:tRNA from 1 species
UCCCUGGAGGACUAGCGGUUAGGCCUCGGCGCUCUCACCGCUGUGGCCCGGGUUCGCUUCUCGGCCAGGGUA